GAUGAACGCUGGCGGCGUGCCUAAUACAUGCAAGUCGAGCGGACAGACGAUGAUCUUGCUCCUCUGACGUGAGCGGCGGACGUGUGUGUAACACGUGUAUACUCCACCUAUAAGUCUGAUAUAACUUCGAGAAACCGGCUCUUACCUCGGAUAAGAUAUUGAAGCGCGUGGGUGAAUAGUGAAUUACGGUUUUUCGGGCUGGUAUAGCGGGAUCUGCGCUGCAUUAGCUAGUCGUGAAGGUCACGGCUUACCAAGGCUAGGAGGCGUAGGCGAGGUGCGAGGGUGAUCGGCCACACUGGAAGUGAGACACGGUCAAGACUCCUACGGGAGGCAGCAGUAGGAAAUGUUACGCAAUGGGCGAAAGCUUGACGGAGCAACGCGGAGUGAGUGAUGAAGGUCUUCGGAUCGUAAAACUCUGUUAUGAGGGAAGAACAAAUGUGUAAGUAACUAUGCACGUCUUGACGGUACCUAAUAAGAAAGCCACGGCUAACUACGUG
rnacentral:rRNA from 1 species